GUCGGGGUGGCGGAAUUGGUAGACGCGCUGGAUUCAGGAUCCAGUGGGUUAGCGCCCGUGGGGGUUCGACUCCCCCCCUCGACA
rnacentral:tRNA from 1 species